GUGGGGAAUCUUGCGCAAUGGGCGAAAGCCUGACGCAGCCAUGCCGCGUGAAUGAUGAAGGUCUUAGGAUUGUAAAAUUCUUUCACCGGGGACGAUAAUGACGGUACCCGGAGAAGAAGCCCCGGCUAACUUCGUGCCAGCAGCCGCGGUAAUACGAAGGGGGCUAGCGUUGCUCGGAAUUACUGGGCGUAAAGGGCGCGUAGGCGGACAGCUUAGUCAGAGGUGAAAGCCCAGGGCUCAACCUUGGAAUUGCCUUUGAUACUGGCUGUCUUGAGUUUGGGAGAGGUGAGUGGAACUCCGAGUGUAGAGGUGAAAUUCGUAGAUAUUCAGAAGAACACCAGUGGCGAAGGCGACUCACUGGCCCAAUACUGACGCUGAGGCGCGAAAGCGUGGGGAGCAAACAGGAUUAGAUACCCUGGUAGUCC
rnacentral:rRNA from 1 species